CUAGAUUCUGGUCCUAUUUUUGCCUGGUACUUGCCGAGUGUGACUUUGGGUUGUGAUGGAAUUAAGUGGAAAUGUUUAUAUACAAUGCCUGCAACCACGCUGGCCCACACAUAGAACGUGGCAUCAGAAUGCUGGGAGCUACUUUCAGUCACUGUGGGAGGGAAUUCCCUGGCUCUGGGGAAGCUCUUUCUGCAGAAGCGAGCAGGU